rnacentral:lncRNA from 1 species
UUUUCCGUUAAGCUAACCAUUGUUGUUCUCUCAGCUAAUGCCAAGAACAUCAAAUUGUUUGAACGUGUUGAUUUGUGUAUUAUCUAUGAUAGCUUUGAGGAGACACAACCAAACUUCACUUCUGGAGAUCAUAUGAAGAUCCAACCUACUCUCAUACCCUCCUAACUCUGACAGAAUGAAACUCCAUGUCAGUAACAUGAUAUGUGCGCAUUUCAAGAUGUUUUUUUUUUGUUUCUUUCUCUUUUAUCUUCAUGAUAUUCUAAACAAUCUUUUACAUUUUUUUCCUUUUUCCAACAGGGUUAUGCAAUUAGCUUUCCAACAGGCAACCUUGAGCUUAAAAUCUUGAGUUGACCAGAGAGGAAGGGAAGAGAACCAUGAGUUGAGAGAAUCGGGGUUAGUCAAAUCGGAUGAAUUGGGAGGAAACGGUCGAAGGGAGAACGAGGCAAAGAGGAUGGGAGAUGGGUUUGUGGUCUGAGUAUGAUUUGAAAGAUGGUAGAGGAUGAAGGAGGGAUAAGCCCAGUUGGUGGAUUAACAAGGAACUUGUGCGGCGAUGAAGUUUGGACCUUGAAUGCUAUUGGGGUAGUGGCGGAAAGAGACCUGAGGCGGACGUUGGCNNNNNN